rnacentral:rRNA from 1 species
UACCAGCACCCCGAGUGGUCGGGACGAUUAUUGGGCCUAAAGCAUCCGUAGCCGGUUUUACAAGUCCUCCGUUAAAUCCAGCUGCUUAACAGAUGGGCUGCGGAGGAUACUACGUGGCUAGGAGGCGGGAGAGGCAAGCGGUACUCAGUGGGUAGGGGUAAAAUCCUUUGAUCCAUUGAAGACCACCAGUGGCGAAGGCGGCUUGCCAGAACGCGCUCGACGGUGAGGGAUGAAAGCUGGGGGAGCAAACCGG